CACCAGCGCCCCAAGUGGCAGUCAAGUUUAUUGGGCCUAAAGCGUUCGUAGCCGGUUUGGUAAAUCCUUUGUGAAAUCGUCGUGCUUAACGCGACGGCAUGCAGGGGACACUGCCAAACUUGGAACCGGGAGGAGUCAGAAGUAUGCCGUGGGGACUGGUAAAAUGGGAUAAUCCACGGUAGACUACCGAUGGCGAAGGCAUCUGACCAGAACGGAUUCGACGGUGAGGAACGAAAGCCAGGGGAGCGAACCGG
rnacentral:rRNA from 1 species